rnacentral:rRNA from 1 species
UGGGGAAUCUUGCCCAAUGGGCGCAAGCCUGAGGCAGCGACGCCGCGUGAGGGAAGAAGGCCUUCGGGUUGUAAACCUCUUUCAGGAGGGACGAAGCCACUCGGGUUAAUAGCCUAGAGGGUGACGGUACCUCCAGAAGAAGCCCCGGCUAACUACGUGCCAGCAGCCGCGGUAAUACGUAGGGGGCAAGCGUUGUCUGGAUUUACUGGGCGUAAAGAGCGUGUAGGCGGCCAGACAGGUCUGUUGUGAAAACUGGAGGCUUAACCUCCAGACGUCGACAGAAACCGUCUGGCUAGAGUCCGGAAGAGGAGAGUGGAAUUCCUGGUGUAGCGGUGAAAUGCGCAGAUAUCAGGAAGAACACCAAUGGCGAAGGCAGCUCUCUGGGACGGUACUGACGCUGAGACGCGAAAGCGUGGGGAGCGAACAGGAUUAGAUACCCUGGUAGUCCACGCCGUAAACGAUGGGUGCUAGGUGUGGGAGGUGUCGACUCCUCCCGUGCCG